rnacentral:rRNA from 1 species
AACUAACGCUGGCGGCGUGCCUAACACAUGCAAGUCGUACGAGAAAGCCGGCUUCGGCUGGUGAGUAAAGUGGCGCACGGGUGAGUAACGCGUGGAUAAUCUGCCCUUAAGUGUGGAAUAACGUACCGAAAGGUGCGCUAAUACCGCAUAAUGCCUGGCAACACAAGUUGUCCGGCCAAAGAAGGCCUCUGUUUACAAGCUUUCGCUUCAGGAUGAGUCCGCGUACCAUUAGCUUGUUGGUGGGGUAAUGGCCUACCAAGGCUGCGAUGGUUAGCUGGUCUGAGAGGAUGAUCAGCCACACUGGAACUGAGACACGGUCCAGACUCCUACGGGAGGCAGCAGUGAGGAAUAUUGCGCAAUGGGGGCAACCCUGACGCAGCAACGCCGCGUGAGUGAGGAAGGUUUUCGGACUGUAAAAGCUCUGUCGAGCGGGAAGAAGUGUACCAUGGCUAAUAUCCAUGAUAUUUGACGGUACCGCUAGAGG